rnacentral:rRNA from 1 species
UACGUAGGGUGCAGGCGUUAAUCGGAAUUACUGGGCGUAAAGCGUGCGCAGGCGGUUUGCUAAGACAGGUGUGAAAUCCCCGGGCUUAACCUGGGAACUGCGCUUGUAACUGGCAAGCUAGAGUGUGGCAGAGGGGGGUGGAAUUCCGCGUGUAGCAGUGAAAUGCGUAGAUAUGCGGAGGAACACCGAUGGCGAAGGCAAUCCCCUGGGCCUGCACUGACGCUCAUGCACGAAAGCGUGGGGAGCAAACAGG